rnacentral:rRNA from 1 species
GACGACGCUGGCGGCGUGGAUUAGGCAUGCAAGUCGAACGGUAUCAUCCUUUCGGGGAUGAGAGAGUGGCGAACGGGUGAGUAACACGUAGGUGAUCUACCCUCAAGACGGGACAACCCAGGGAAACUUGGGCUAAUACCGGAUGUGAGCAACCUUAGGGUUGUUUGAAAGGUGGCUUCGGCUGCCGCUUGGGGAUGAGCCUGCGUCCUAUUAGCUAGUUGGUGAGGUAACGGCUCACCAAGGCAGUGAUAGGUAGGCGGCCUUAACGGGUGGUCGCCCACACUGGGAUUGAGAUACGGCCCAGACUCCUACGGGAGGCAGCAGUCGAGAAUAGUCUACAAUGGUCGAAAGACUGAUAGUGCGACGCCGCGUGAACGAAGAAGCCCUUCGGGGUGUAAAGUUCUUUUAUAUGUGAGCAGUGGGUUCCAUAUGAAUAGUAUGGGAUCAGAGAUAUUAGCAUAUGAAUAAGCAACGGCUAACUCCGUG